rnacentral:rRNA from 1 species
CCUACGGGAGGCAGCAGUGGGGAAGUUUUGGUACAAUGGGCGAAAGCCUGAUCCAGCAAUGCCGCGUGUGGGAAGAAGGCCUUCGGGUUGUAAACCACUUUUGUACGGAACGAAACGGUCUGCUUUAAUACAGUGGGCUAAUGACGGUACCGUAAGAAUAAGCACCGGCUAACUACGUGCCAGCAGCCGCGGUAAUACGUAGGGUGCGAGCGUUAAUCGGAAUUACUGGGCGUAAAGCGUGCGCAGGCGGUUAUAUAAGACAGUUGUGAAAUCCCCGGGGCUCAACCUGGGAAUUGCAUCUGUGACUGUAUAGCUAGAGUACGGUAGAGGGGGAUGGAAUUCCGCGUGUAGCAGUGAAAUGCGUAGAUAUGCGGAGGAACACCGAUGGCGAAGGCAAUCCCCUGGACCUGUACUGACGCUCAUGCACGAAAGCGUGGGGAGCAAACAGGAUUAGAUACCCUGGUAGUCCACGCCCUAAACGAUGUCAACUGGUUGUUGGGUGCAUAUACUCAGUACGAGACUACGACGUGAGUAGUACGCCGCGGAGGUACGGCCGGCGACGUAGUAACGUAACGAAGUAAGUAGACGCGNGAGAGCGACGACGACGACGACGGAGGAGGAGG